AUGGUUAGGAGUGUACCGAUUGGUGAGAAGCUCUUCAUAGGAGGAGACCUCAAUGGCCACGUGGGUACAUCUAACACAGGUUUUGAAGGGGCGCAUGGGGGCUUUGGCUAUGGCAUCAGGAAUCAAGAAGGAGAAGAUGUCUUAAGCUUUGCUCUAGCCUACAACAUGAUUGUAGCUAACACCCUCUUUAGAAAGAGAGAAUCACAUCUGGUGACUUUUAGUAGUGGCCAACACUCUAGCCAGAUUGAUUUCAUCCUCUCGAGAAGAGAAGAUAGGCGUGCGUGCCUAGACUGUAAGGUGAUACCUGGGGAGAGUGUUGUACCCCAGCAUAAGCUGGUGGUUGCUGACUUCCGCUUUCGGAUUCGUGUCCAGCGGGAUAAGCGUGCCAAGGUCGCUAGAACGAAGUGGUGGAAGCUCAAGGGGGAGGUAGCUCAGGUGUUCAAGGAGAGGGUAUUUAAGGAGGGCCCUUGGGAGGAAGGAGGGGAUGCGGACAAUGUGUGGAUGAAGAUGGCGACUUGCAUUCGUAAGGUGGCCUCGGAGGAGUUUGGAGUGUCCAGGGGAAGGAGAAGCGAAGAUAAAGAUACCUGGUGGUGGAAUGAUGAUGUCCAGAAGGCGCUUAAAGAGAAGAAAGAUUGCUUCAGACGCCUAUACCUGGAUAGGAGUGCAGACAACAUAGAGAAGUACAAGAUGGCGAAGAAGGCCGCAAAGCGAGCUGUUGGUGAAGCAAGGGGUCGGGCAUAUGAGGACCUCUACCAACGGUUAGGCACGAAGGAAGGUGAAAGGGACAUCUAUAAGAUGGCUAAGAUCCGGGAGAGGAAGACGAGGGAUAUUGGCCAAGUCAAAUGCAUCAAGGACGGAGCAGGCCAACUCUUGGUGAAGGACGAAGAGGUUAAGCAUAGAUGGCGGGAGUACUUCGACAAGCUGUUCAAUGGGGAGAAUGAGAGUUCUACCAUUGAACUGAAUGACUCCUUUGAUGAGACCAGCAUGCGUUUUGUGCGGCGCAUCCAGGAGUCUGAGGUGAAGGAGGCUUUAAAAAGGAUGAAAGGAGGCAAGGCGAUGGGCCCUGAUUGUAUCCCCAUUGAGGUGUGGAAAGGUCUCGGGGACAUAGCGAUAGUAUGGCUAACCAAGCUUUUCAACCUCAUUUUUCGGGCAAACAAGAUGCCAGAAGAAUGGAGACGGAGUAUAUUAGUACCAAUCUUCAAGAACAAGGGGGAUGUUCAGAGUUGUACUAAUUACCGUGGAAUUAAGCUGAUGAGCCAUACAAUGAAGCUAUGGGAGAGAGUCAUUGAGCACCGCUUAAGAAGAAUGACAAGCGUGACCAAAAAUCAGUUUGGUUUCAUGCGUGGGAGGUCGACCAUGGAAGCCAUUUUCUUGGUACGACAACUUAUGGAGAGAUAUAGGGAGCAUAAGGACUUGCAUAUGGUGUUCAUUGACUUGGAGAAGGCCUAUGAUAAGAUACCGCGGAAUGUCAUGUGGUGGGCCUUGGAGAAACACAAAGUCCCAGCAAAGUACAUUACCCUCAUCAAGGACAUGUACAAUAAUGUUGUGACAAGUGUUCAAACAAGUGAUGUCGACACCGAUGACUUCCCGAUUAAGAUAGGACUGCAUCAGGGGUCAGCUUUGAGCCCUUAUCUUUUUGCAUUGGUGAUGGAUGAGGUCACAAGGGGUAUACAAGGAGAUAUCCCAUGGUGUAUGCUCUUUGCGGAUGAUGUGGUGCUAGUUGACGAUAGUCGGACGGGGGUAAAUAGGAAGUUAGAGUUAUGA
rnacentral:rRNA from 1 species